rnacentral:ncRNA from 1 species
UGUUCGGAGAUGACAAUUAAAAGGGAAUUAGGUGAAAGUCCUAAACAGUCCCGCUGCUGUAAGUUUCAUGAUAUGUUGCAGGCAAAACAACCAAUAGCCACUGGAAGCAUCUUCCGGGAAGGCGCCUGUCAACAGAAACAAGUCAGAAGACCUGCCAUGCACUGU